UUCCGGAUGGCUCAGCAGUCAGAGCACCUGCCUAGUAAGCAGGAGACCCGGGUUCGAAUCCCUGUUUGGCGCAAA